AGAGGCGCCGAGUAGCCGGGAGCUUGGUCCUGCCUGAGGAUGCGGGGCCCUGGGUGCAUACCCCCGGCCCUGCUCGCCCUCUCAUCACACGGAGGCCGGGGGCAGGGUCACGGCCAGGGAGCCUGCGGGGCUAAAGGAGCGGGCCGAGAGCUCAGGAGCUGCCGCCGGGCGGCGAGAAAGGAGCUCCAGGCAGGCCCCGGGCGGCCGAGGCGGGGGAGGAGACGCCAGGCCCUGGUUCCAGGUGAGCAGCCCCGCCCGCUCUGCUGGAGGCCCCGCUCACCGCUGGCGGGAGAUGUGGGUGCAAGUCCUGGGGCGCACGUGGCCAGGCCACUGCCACGCCCGAGAGACGGGUUUUCGUCGCCACCUCGGCCCUGGUGAAGCCUGUGACUGGAGUGCCUCCCAGUCCCACCGUGAUGCCCACCUCGGGGCACAGCCAGGUGCCAGGCUAACGCGCGUGAUCCACAGUGUGCUGGGAAGUGCUGACUGUCAUUGCGAUUAUCCGUGGUGGGGUGACGCCCGGGCAGGGUGCGCUGGCCUGGUUCCAGAAGACCUGGCCUCUCCAGCCCCCACAGGGCGCCCGUUUGCUGCGUGGCCCAUGCGAGCGGCGGCUGCUCCUGGCUGAGUCAUUCCGAGACAAGCGUCCAGCCCGCGCUCUCUGCCGCCCUUCCCAGCGCUGCCCAGCAGGCCCCGGGAACUGUGCCCAGCUGUGCCCGCUUAGCUGGUGCAUGACCUGCAUUUGAACUUGCUGCAAAGAAAGAUGUGGAUCUCCUGUUACUGGAAAACAGGAAUUAGCUUGUCUGCUUGAGGAUGUGGUUGGUUCUUUAUAAAAAGGAUACAGAAGAAAUUUGCACAGACUGCCAGCUUCAUUAUGCUGCCGACAGCUUCCAGCAAAAGGAGGACGUUUGCAGCCAGAUAUUUCACCCGCUCCAAGAGCCUGGUGAUGGGGGAGCAGAGCCGGAGCCCCGGGCGGACGCCAUGCCCUCACAGGCUGGGCCCCGUGCUGAAGGCGGGCUGGCUGAAGAAGCAGAGGAGCAUCAUGAAGAACUGGCAGCAGCGCUGGUUUGUGCUGCGUGGGGAUCAGCUUUUCUACUAUAAGGACAAAGAUGAGAUCAAGCCCCAGGGAUUUAUUUCUCUACAAGGGACACAGGUGACCGAACUUCCUCCUGGCCCUGAGGACCCAGGGAAGCACCUCUUUGAGAUCAGUCCAGGUGGUGCCGGGGAGCGGGAGAAGGUACCGGCCAACCCCGAGGCGCUCCUGCUCAUGGCCAGCUCCCAGCGUGACAUGGAGGACUGGGUGCAGGCCAUCCGCCGGGUCAUCUGGGCCCCGCUGGGCGGAGGGAUCUUUGGGCAGCGCCUGGAGGACACAGUCCACCACGAGCGGAAGUAUGGCCCCCGCCUGGCGCCCCUGCUGGUGGAGCAGUGUGUGGACUUCAUCCGGGAGCGCGGGCUCACUGAGGAGGGGCUGUUCCGUAUGCCGGGCCAGGCCAACCUGGUGAGGGACCUGCAGGAUUCCUUCGACUGUGGGGAGAAGCCACUGUUUGACAGCACAACAGACGUGCACACGGUGGCCUCCCUGCUGAAGCUCUACCUGCGGGAGCUCCCCGAGCCCGUGGUCCCCUUCGCCAGGGCACUCUGGAGUUGGCUAAACAAGUGAGCAACCUUCCUCAGGCCAAUUACAACCUGCUCAGAUACAUCUGCAAGUUUCUGGAUGAGGUUCAGGCAUACUCAAAUGUCAACAAGAUGAGUGUCCAGAACCUGGCAACCGUGUUUGGACCUAACAUUCUGCGGCCACAGGUAGAGGACCCAGUAACCAUCAUGGAAGGCACUUCCCUCGUCCAGCACCUGAUGACUGUCCUCAUCCGCAAACACAGCCAGCUCUUCAAGGCCCCGGCCCCGGAAGGGUCCACGUCCCCGCACAGGGGCCCGCAGUGUGCAGUGGGGUGGGGCUCCGAGGAGGUCACCAGAGACAGCCAGGGAGAACCCUGCGACCCCGGCCUGCCCGCACACAGGACCUCUUCCCUGGACGGGGCGGCCGUGGCGGUGCUCUCCAGAACAGCCCCCACGGGAGCGGGGAGCCGGUGCAGCCCUGGGAAGAAGGUGCAGACCCUGCCCAGUUGGAAGUCCUCCUUCCGUCAGCCGGGAUCCCGAUCGGGAAGCCCGAAGGGGGGCGGCUCGUCCCUGGAGGUGCCCAUCAUCUCCUCCGGCGGGAACUGGUUCAUGAACGGGUUGUCCUCCCUGCGUGGCCACCGCCGGGCCUCAUCGGGAGACCGGCUCAAGGACUCGGGCUCCGUGCAGAGACUCUCCACUUACGACAAUGUGCCCGCGCCGGGCGUGGUCCCCGGCAUACCCAGCGUGGCCAGCAUGGUGUGGUCCGGGGCCUCCUCCAGCGAGUCUUCGGUGGGGGGCUCGCUCAGCAGCUGCACGGCCUGCCGCGCCAGCGACUCGUCCGCCCGCAGCUCCCUGCACACCGACUGGGCCCUGGAGCCCUCCCCGCUCCCCAGCAGCAGCGAGGACCCCAAGUCCCUGGACCUGGACCACAGCCUGGACGAGGCGGGCACGGGUGCCAGUAACAGCGAGCCAAGCGAGCCGGGCAGCCCCACCCGGGAGCACGCGCGCCGCUCCGAGGCCUUACAGGGGCUGGUCACUGAGCUCAGGGCCGAGUUGUGCCGCCAGCGGACUGAGUACGAGAGGAGUGUGAAAAGAAUCGAAGAAGGGAGUGCUGACCUGAGAAAACGAAUGUCUCGGUUAGAAGAAGAACUGGACCAGGAAAAGAAAAAAUACGUCAUGCUGGAAAUAAAGCUGCGGAACUCUGAGCGGGCACGGGAGGACGCGGAGAGGAGGAACCAGCUGUUGCAGAGGGAAAUGGAAGAGUUUUUUUCGACCCUAGGAAGCUUGACUGCUGGGGCAAAAGGUGCCAGGGCCCCAAAGUAAAAGGAAUGGCAGAGCUUACUUCUGUGCUACGUCUGCUGGUCUCCAGCCAUGCACAGAGUCAGAAGCCUCUGUAUCUCUGGAGCAGCCAGGCGCUCUGGAACCAGCUGGAGGGAGAGAUCCUGAUACCUCUGUGGGGACUGUUGCGACCCCACACAUUCCAGGUGGGAUCAGAUGCUGCUCCAACCAUGCAGCUCGUGGUGAGGGUCAGAAGGGGACAGUACCAAGAGUAGCGCUUAGCCCUUACCCAGGAAAUGUCCUUCAUGGCCACAGAAAUGGAGGGCACCCAUCAUUUCUGCCACAGGAUCCAGGCAGCCGCUGGGAGCAGUUAGCUUUCUUCAUUAAAUGUGCUCACAAAGCA